UCCCUGAUGGCUCAGAGGUUAAAGCGUCUGCCUCCAAUGCAGGAGAUCCGGGUUCGAUCCCUGGGUUGGGAA
rnacentral:tRNA from 1 species